rnacentral:rRNA from 3 species
CACAUGACUCUCGGCAACGGAUAUCUCGGCUCUCGCAUCGAUGAAGAACGUAGCGAAAUGCGAUACCUGGUGUGAAUUGCAGAAUCCCGCGAACCAUCGAGUCUUUGAACGCAAGUUGCGCCCGAGGCCUUCGGGCCGAGGGCACGCCUGCCUGGGCGUCACGC